GACGAACGCUGGCGGCGUGCUUAACACAUGCAAGUCGAACGGAAAGGCCCUGCUUUUGUGGGGUGCUCGAGUGGCGAACGGGUGAGUAACACGUGAGUAACCUGCCCUUGACUUUGGGAUAACUUCAGGAAACUGGGGCUAAUACCGGUUAGGAUCUCCUGCUGCAUGGUGGGGGUUGGAAAGUUUCGGCGGUUGGGGAUGGACUCGCGGCUUAUCAGCUUGUUGGUGGGGUAGUGGCUUACCAAGGCUUUGACGGGUAGCCGGCCUGAGAGGGUUACCGGCCACAUUGGGACUGAGAUACGGCCCAGACUCCUACGGGAGGCAGCAGUGGGGAAUAUUGCACAAUGGGCGGAAGCCUGAUGCAGCAACGCCGCGUGCGGGAUGACGGCCUUCGGGUUGUAAACCGCUUUCGCCUGUGACGAAGCGUGAGUGACGGUAAUGGGUAAAGAAGCACCGGCUAACUACGUG
rnacentral:rRNA from 1 species